rnacentral:lncRNA from 1 species
UCCAUCAACCCAAAUUGUUGCUCCACGUCUCAUCACAAGGCUCAAGCCUCAAGGCUGCUCCUUCACAUGGAUCAAACGAGUGCUAGUUGCGGUGAAUUGCUUCGUCCACAUCACCGACUAUCAGGUGUUAUUUAUCCUGCUUUGGUUUGCUCUACAAAUUUAAUUCUCCGAGAAUUAUUUCUUCUAUCAUGUAUUAUGUUGUGUACAUAGAUUUAUUUACUCAUGGCAUCCAUGAAGUACGAUCUUCACGCCAAUGUCGUGUGUGCCUGCUCGAGCCGUCCAACGGGUGCGCGCGAGCCGCCGCCCCCGUGGCCGGAUCUAUAUCAAAU